rnacentral:rRNA from 1 species
GGGCGAGUAACGCGUGGGAACGUACCUUUUGGUUCGGAACAACACAGGGAAACUUGUGCUAAUACCGGAUAAGCCCUUACGGGGAAAGAUUUAUCGCCGAAAGAUCGGCCCGCGUCUGAUUAGCUAGUUGGUGAGGUAACGGCUCACCAAGGCGACGAUCAGUAGCUGGUCUGAGAGGAUGAUCAGCCACAUUGGGACUGAGACACGGCCCAAACUCCUACGGGAGGCAGCAGUGGGGAAUAUUGGACAAUGGGCGCAAGCCUGAUCCAGCCAUGCCGCGUGAGUGAUGAAGGCCCUAGGGUUGUAAAGCUCUUUUGUGCGGGAAGAUAAUGACGGUACCGCAAGAAUAAGCCCCGGCUAACUUCGUGCCAGCAGCCGCGGUAAUACGAAGGGGGCUAGCGUUGCUCGGAAUCACUGGGCGUAAAGGGUGCGUAGGCGGGUCUUUAAGUCAGGGGUGAAAUCCUGGAGCUCAACUCCAGAACUGCCUUUGAUACUGAAGAUCUUGAGUUCGGGAGAGGUGAGUGGAACUGCGAGUGUAGAGGUGAAAUUCGUAGAUAUUCGCAAGAACACCAGUGGCGAAGGCGGCUCACUGGCCCGAUACUGGCGCUGAGGCACGAAAGCGUGGGGAGCAAACAGGAUUAGAUACCCCUGGUAGUCCACGCCGUAAACGAUGAAAUGCCAGCCGUUAGUGGGUUUACUCACUA